UGGCGCUCUCUCUUCUUCCUCGCCAGCCAGCCAUAGGCUGGAAGAAGGAGCUAGGAAAAUGCCCGGAACAGGCAAGGAUGAGGACGCCUGUGGCUGUGCAGGGGGACCCACCACACAGAAGAACCCACAGAUCCGGACCCGCACACCCUUAUAGGCGACCACUUCCGGACCCUACACACACACACACACACACACACAGCACCACAACACCACACACACCACACCACACAGCUACUUCACUCGCACCGGAGCACACCUCCUUUUAAACACACCCAACACGGGGUUCAUUUUGCCUUCCAGACCCCCUGGGGCAGAUGGUGGGGUCUCUAUUCAGGUGGGGGCUGUUGCUUUCUCCAUGAUGGUGGAGGUCAGAUUCCUUGUCGGUCUGCACUUUUUUUUCUCUCUCCCUCUUUAUUUAAGAGGAGGUCAGGCGAUCCCAGGAUGCCAAUUUGGACUGCACGGUUGUUGCUUCUAUUGGCCUCACCGCGGUAGCUCUGGGUCUGGGAGGAUGGAAGACUAUCGCUCUGAGGAAACAGACUUCCAACGGCCCAGGGAGCCCUGCAAAAUCAAAUGAGACAAAUAAUCAUGCCUGCAAAACAACACCCAACCUCCCCAGCAACAAACAAAAUCCCCCAAAGACUUUACAGCAGAGAGGGGCGACAAAGGGAAGGUUAGGAGCAGUUCAGUGUCCCUCCCUCUCCUUCAAGCCUGUUCCCACCCGGCUGGCCCGGAGGAGGAGGGGCCUAGGCCCAUGUGUUGGCUGGAAGAAAGAAGGGUAUGUCCAGUAUCCACUCCGGGGGGCCCCAACUCAGCACAUCAUUGAAGGCCCUCUUCAGUUUCAGUUGGGAGAGGAUCACCCUGCCUGGAGUUCUUUAGGGUGGGCAGGGAAGUCCUGGCUGUGCCAAGGGUCUGUGGCCUCCUUGGGAAAGUGAGCACACUGAAAAUGUGCUGUUAACAUUUGCAACUGUUUGGGCCAACUGAGCUGGACUGCUCUCCCAGCCCCUGAGCUGUGUGUGUGUGUGUGUGUGGGGGGGGUCUGUGGCAGCUGUCCAUUCGCUCUCUGCAGCCCAAGUUCUGGAUGGCAUGUGCCUCAGAAUUAGUGGGGACAAGGAGCCAAGUCUAUAUUUCCAACCAUCAUUCAACUCAAGGAGACCUUUGUAGCUUUGUAGAAGGGCUGGAGGGCCAGGUCCUGGUCCUCCAGAUGUUUGGGGCACUGGAGGAUCCUGACGAAGGCCUGGGGUAUCUGGCCACAGUACUGAGGGACUCGGGGAGCUUGUCCCAGGCCCUUAGAGGUGGAAGGGGCACUGAGGGGAUUUGAGCCCUGUGUUUUGGAUAUCAGUAAUGAUUACGUCAUCCUCUGUUGUCUGUGUGCCAAGCAUUAUGCUUAGGCUAAGGACAUGAACGUCUCUCUUUAUCUAAUUACUGCAAUAUUUCUACAUAAGAUAAAGUCGAUAUCUAAUACAGAUGUGCAAGUUAUUGGCCCUUAUACGAAGGAGGACAUUGAGGCACAAAGGGGCCAGAUACCCUUUCUAAAAACUGCAGCUGGACUCCCUAGCUAGCUGGCUACCAUAACUGCCAGGGGACUGUCUUCCCUGGAGAAGUAGCGUGCAGCAAGGACAGAGGAAGUCCUCAGAGGGAAGAGGAGGCCCCUGGAAAGCAGUGAAGACCAAGGCAUAGAAGAGGCUCACUCGGAGUUUAUGCCCGCCUGGCUGCAAGGUGUCUUUCCUAGCCCUGCCAAUGUAAGCAGGUGAAACUUAACUUACAUGCAGAUAUAUGCAAAUGAGCAACCCAGCCAGGGCCCAGAGCCAGAGAGGCAAGCCCUCCCCCACCUCCAGGGACCCAGAAAGGGCCGCCCCAGUCCUGACUCACUUGCUGACAUGCCGCCUGGAAUGCCACCUCCCUGGCCUGGCUUCCUCCGACUUGGUAAACUUGCUCCUGGAGAGUCUGAAGCUCAGGCCUGACGCUCCAGCUCCAAGCUGGAACACUGGAAGCCAGAGCUAGGGGAACUUCCUUAGUCAGACUAAGGGUUUGUUCUGAGUUCCUCCCGCCAAAUCGAGUGGUUGGGAGUAAGAGACAGAUGCCUGAGGACCUGAAAGUGUGCCAUGUGGGCCAGCAACAUGGCUCAGGCCCCACGUGGUGGAAGGAGAGAACCAGCUCCCUCAAAUUGUUCUCUGACCUCCCUGUGUGUCACAAGACUUGUGCCCCGCACCUCAAAAAGAAAUAAAAUAAACAUGAAAUCGUGUGAAAUGUG